rnacentral:rRNA from 1 species
UUGCUCCUUGGGUGGCGAGUGGCGGACGGGUGAGGAAUACAUCGGAAUCUACUCUGUCGUGGGGGAUAACGUAGGGAAACUUACGCUAAUACCGCAUACGACCUACGGGUGAAAGCAGGGGAUCUUCGGACCUUGCGCGAUUGAAUGAGCCGAUGUCGGAUUAGCUAGUUGGCGGGGUAAAGGCCCACCAAGGCGACGAUCCGUAGCUGGUCUGAGAGGAUGAUCAGCCACACUGGAACUGAGACACGGUCCAGACUCCUACGGGAGGCAGCAGUGGGGAAUAUUGGACAAUGGGCGCAAGCCUGAUCCAGCCAUACCGCGUGGGUGAAGAAGGCCUUCGGGUUGUAAAGCCCUUUUGUUGGGAAAGAAAUCCAUCUGGUUAAUACCCGGGUGGGAUGACGGUACCCAAAGAAUAAGCACCGGCUAACUUCGUGCCAGCAGCCGCGGUAAUACGAAGGGUGCAAGCGUUACUCGGAAUUACUGGGCGUAAAGCGUGCGUAGGUGGUCGUUUAAGUCCGUUGUGAAAGCCCUGGGCUCAACCUGGGAACUGCAGUGGAUACUG